rnacentral:rRNA from 1 species
UACGUAGGGUGCGAGCGUUAAUCGGAAUUACUGGGCGUAAAGCGUGCGCAGGCGGUAAGUUAAGUCUGAUGUGAAAGCCCCGGGCUCAACCUGGGAAUGGCAUGGGAAACUGGCUUGCUGGAGUGUGGCAGAGGGGGGUGGAAUUCCACGUGUAGCAGUGAAAUGCGUAGAGAUGUGGAGGAAUACCGAUGGCGAAGGCAGCCCCCUGGGCUAACACUGACGCUCAUGCACGAAAGCGUGGGGAGCAAACAGG